AUCUGAAUAUCCACUUGACUCCUACCACAUUCUUGUCAGAAGGUCUUUCGAGAAGCUCCCAUGUUUGAUUUUUCUCAAUGGUUUGAAUCUCAUCUACCAUUGCAAGUCUCCAUUCCUUGUGUUUUGCGGCUUCCUCAAAUACAGCAGGUUCCUCUUCGAUGCCAACAUAGCAGCUUUCACAAGAUCCAGAAUAUUCAACAUUAGCAUAAGGGGCAUUCAAGAGGAUAUCUUCAAUAGUUCUGGUUUUCUUGUUUUGCAGGUUUGAGUCACUUUCUGGGCUGUCGAGGUUUAAGCUCAAUGGACUCGGAAGAGUACGUCUUUUCCCUAUAUCUUCAUUGUCCUUUAAUGAUGUCUCUCCAGUUGUUGGGUUUUCUUCUUCAUCCUUUGACUCGCUUGAUAGGUCAUAGGUUUUUGUAACUUCCUUCUUAUCCCAAUUCCACUUGCUUCCCUCAUCAAAUAUGACGUCUCUUGAGAUGUCAAUCUUGUUUUCUUCCAGCAGGUACAGUCUAUAUCCUUUUGUUUGAGAGCUGUAUCCUACAAAUAUACCUCUCUUUGACUUGUCAUCCCAUUUCUUCCUUUUUUCGUCUGGAAUGUGGACAUAACAUAUACUCCCAAACACUCUCAUGUGUUCCAACGAUGGUUUAGUUCCAUCCCAUGCUUCAAUAGGGGUAAUACUUUCUAAGGCUCUUGUUGGGGUUCGAUUCUGGACGUACGUAGCAACGUGAACUGCAUCAGCCCAAAAUUUUAGAGGUAAUCCCUGGCUUUGAUCAUAGCUCUUGCCAUUUCAACUAAGCUUCUGUUUCUUCUUUCUGAAACUCCAUUUUGUUGUGGAGAAUAUUCAGCAGUGAGUUGUCUUUCUAUUCCAUUUUCUUCAAGAAAUUCUGUGAACUCUUUUGAAAGAUACUCAGAUCCUCUGUCGGUUCGAAGCUUCUUGAUUUUGCAGUUUGAGUUAUUUUCAACAAGACUCUUAAACUUUCUAAAUGUUUGAAAGACCUCAGACUUGGCUCUCAGAAAAUAAAUCCAAACCAUUCUUGUUGCAUCAUCAAUAAAUGUGAGAAUGUACCUGUUUCCAUUUAUUGACAAGUUCUGCAUUGGUCCACAUAAGUCGCUGUGAAUUAGCUCCAGUUUCACUCUUGCUCUGGUCUUAGAUUCCUUCGGAAAGGGAUCACGAGAAUGCUUGCUUAGAAUGCAUGAUUCACAUUUUUCUGCUUCUACUUUGAACUUUGGUAAGCCGACCACCAUGUCUUUUGAUUGCAUAAUCUUCAGAUUUGAAUAUCCAGUGUGCCCGAGCCUCUUAUGCCAAAUUGUUGCAUCUUCAUUCUUAGCCAUCAUUGCAGUUUCUUCACUUGCUUGCCACUUUAUGUGAAAACUUUUGUUUCUCAUCGGAACUUCUCCGAUUUUUCUUCUUGUCCUAUCAUGAAUGAUGCAUUUAUUUUCUUUGAAGGUGACUUGGUAACCAUUGGAGAUCAUCUGCGGCACACUUAGGAGAUUUUUUCCCAGCUUAGGUACAAGGAAGACAUCUCGUAUGACUCUUUUCCCUUUCAUUGUCAUCACUUCAAUAUCUCCCUUUCCUUUAGUUAUGAGUGCAACACCAUUCCCAACUUUAAUAGGGACAUUAACACUUGUGUUUAUUCUGAUGAAGAUCUUCUCGUCUGGAGUCAUGUGAUUAGUGCACCCGCUGUCAAUGAGCCAUGAGUUUUCUUCAUUCAAAUCUUGUUUUUCUUGUCUUGCAACGAACGUAUGAUUCUCUUCUCUUUCAAGUACUGUCUCAGCAGCAAUCUUCGACUCCCACUCUGGUGAGCCCUCUCUUCUCUCCUUGAUAGCUCCUCUGAGCACCAACACAGGUUUUCCAGUUUCUUCACACAUCUUCACAACGUUAGGUUCCAUGAAUCAGCUAGUGCUCUGAUACCAUGUUGAAAAGCUUGUAGAAUCACAGAAAAAUAGCAAGAUCAAAUUUAGACAAAGAUUUUGAGAGCAAAACAGAGAAAAACGUUUAUCUCUUCAUAUUCCCAUAUCUCUCUCUCAAUAACCAUUUUUCUCUCUUUUAUCCAGAGAGUAUCACAUGCACUCAAGCACCUACAGCUCUCUACAGCCACCCUAGGACUCUACAAAUACAUUGGAACUCAAAAACAAACAACGACAAAGUAAAACACACUCAAACAACUUGAUGGGCCUUCAUACAAACAAAAGCCCAACGAACAAAACACCCAGCCCACAAAUAAGCUUCUUCUCCUUCUUCGACACACCAACGAUGGUUUGUAACACAUAACACAUCACUUAACAAAAAUUCAAGUCUCGAAUCCUGAAGUUGAUCAGAAUACUCAUUAGUCGAUUUACCUUGCUUUCAGGUACUGUUGGGCGUGUAGAUCCCUUGUGUGAACUGAUUGAACUUGUGUUGAAGGUUUCUAGCUCUUUGACGUGUUAUAGGGCCUUCAGGUAUGUAUGGAACCUCAAUCUCCAGCCUUUGGUUUACUUCCAUGUCCUCCAAAUCUUGGUCUGAUUCGAUGUCCGCAUCACUUGUAGAUGUGAAUAUUAGGAAUGGUACAAUCUUUUGGUUUGUUACUUUUGUUUAUGGCAAUUCUGUGACCAAUUUGAAAGAUUUGGUUUGGGAAAUAAUGAAUACAAUUGGUUAUUUCAAUGAGAUGUUAUCUAAUGAGGAAAAGCUAGGUGAUCUUCAAAGACAAACUUCCUAUAACAUUUGCAGACUCUCUUGAAGAAUUGUGAUAUGUAUGAAUUAGAAAGUUUUGAUAAUGG
rnacentral:lncRNA from 1 species